rnacentral:rRNA from 1 species
UACGUAGGGGGCAAGCGUUGUCCGGAUUUAUUGGGCGUAAAGAGCGUGUAGGCGGCCUGAAAGGUCAGCUGUGAAAACUCGAGGCUCAACCUCGAGACGUCGGUUGAAACCAUCUGGCUAGAGCCCGGAAGAGGAGUGUGGAAUUCCCGGUGUAGCGGUGAAAUGCGCAGAUAUCAGGAGGAACACCAAUGGCGAAGGCAGCUCGCUGGGACGGUACUGACGCUGAGACGCGAAAGCGUGGGGAGCAAACAGG